AAAUUGUUACGUGAAACCUGGGAAUAAUAAUAGCUUACCAUGUAGAGUAACAGAGUCAUUUCAUUGUGUUCUGUUUUAUAGUUGAAAAAUGGAGUGGUAUACAGGAAGAAUGGCCUAUGUCCUAUACUCACACGCUGCAUUUGAUUGAUCCUAGCUUAUCUGGUUGUGAAACCAACAAAUAUCUUGUUUGGUUUGUCUGACUGAUGAGUGACCAUUGAUUUCUAGUAGGUGCUGAUUUGUGGGUCUGCUCUGACUUUAGAAGUUGGCUUUAUCCGAAGACUUUGUGUUCAAUUGCUUGGUGCCUUUUGAUUCAUCUGUCAUUGAGAAGUUUGCACUCAGAGUAAGAAAGCCAGCAUCAAGUUGUGGUACAUGAUGUCGAGGAAGGAGUGGAGAAAAGACCGGAGUAGGAUGUGAUUGUUGCUUUGCGGCCCAUCUUGUUCGAAAGUAUCCCUGAGUUGGACAUGGCAACUUAUAAUCCAGAACUUUUUAUAGUGCACAAACUUGACGAUGUAUCAAUAACUCUUGUAAUGAUUGCUUUUAUUUCCGCACAUGAAAACGGCUUAGGCCAAUGCUCGAUCAUCGUGAAAUGCAGACUGAUAUCUUAAGCUUGAUGAAGUGAUGGAUAAGUUGUAGUAAUAUUUUUAAAAUUCUA